CCCCUAGAUGUUCUGGGCCGCACGCGCGCUACACUGAACAGUUCAACAAGUCUUAACCUUGGCCGAUAGGUCUGGGUAAUCUUUGAACGCUGUUCGUGAUUGGGAUAGACCUUUGCAAUUAUGGGUCUUCAACGAGGAAUUCCUAGUAAACGCAAGUCAUCAGCUUGCAUUGAUUACGUCCCUGCCCUUUGUACACACCGCCCGUCGCUCCUACCGAUUGAAUAUUCCGGUGAGAAGAUAGGAGAAAAAUCUUUUGAUUUUUUGAAUAUUUUUGAACCUUGAUAUUUAGAGGAAGGAGAAGUCGUAACA
rnacentral:rRNA from 1 species